rnacentral:tRNA from 1 species
GCAGGGUUAGUAUAGUGGUAGUACGAUUGCUUCCCAAGCAAUAAGUGCGAGUUCGAUUCUCGUACCCUGCU